rnacentral:ncRNA from 1 species
ACAGUGCCCGCCGAAGGGCGGGAGAAUAGGGAAUCGUGUGCAAAUCACGAGCGGAACCGCCGCUGUAAGCGCGAAUAAGGACGGAUCCGGCGAAGAACCGGUCAUUGGGGACACCCGAGAAGACGAUCCGUCCGUGCGCGAGCCAGAAGACCUGCUGUGUAUC